CCUUCCCUGCGCGUGUGCCGGGACGCGGGAGGGACACACGGGUGGGGGGACGGCGGAGGGAGAUGUCGGCGGAGAAGGGCGAUGCGCGUGGGCGUGGAAUCUCCUGCCCUGAGCGCCUGGAUGGAGCUCGAGAGUCGCCGGGCGGCCGGGGGGGAAGGAGGCAAAGAUUCUCCCUUGGCUCCCAGCGGCGCGCGGGCCCCGAAGCUUUGGAAGGGAACGGCCCUGGCCGGGGAGCGAAGGGAACGCGAGGGAGCAAGCAGGCAAUGAGGAGUGCGAGGGGGACGUGGUGGCAGCGGCCGGCCAACAAGACAGACAGACAGACAGACAGGAAGACAGACAGACAGACCUAGAUUUGUGACACAGCAGUGGAAAAAGUGCAGAAAUAUCAGCACCUGGGGGAACAAGGAAGGAGUAUGUCAAGAGCAGAAGAACUGGAGUCCCCGGGGUUUCCCAGCAGGCGCUCGUGGGAGGUGGUAGAAAGGCAAUGAUGUGUUCCUUACCAGCCUUGGACUCUCCGGCAGCCACGUGAAGCCUCUUCAGUCGGAGGGCUCUCCUCCCCUCUCUGCUGUUGACAUGCUCUGCAUUUUUGCCAGCAAAGCCCUCCAUGGAGCCCCAAGUGAAGGACUGCAGAGCUGCUGGGUUUCUGCUGACUGCUCUUGGCAGGACCAGGAGCUGAGAUGACCAGAGCGCAUUCCACACAGGCAGAAGGAAAGCUGUCACUGCUGCCAGUUCCUCAGAGCUUUGCAGAGAAUGCCCCAGGGGACUCACUGCUUCCUAAAGCUGGACCUGCAAGAGGGAGAAGACUUGGCUCCAAAUCCAUAAGGAGGAGGAAUGCACCACCUAAAGCCACGAGGAGUACCUGGGGAUGCCGUUAGCCUCUGCAAUGUGCCAGCCACUUGCCAGCAUGUUGUCAACGAUGUGCUGAAGGAAUUGCUUGAGGACUGUGUUUGGGCAUAACUGCCCCGUGCCCUCCCAGCCCCCUGGUACUUUUUGCCUUUGUUACCUUCCGUGGGCAGUUCUCGAAGCAGGCUCUUCCUCCUGCAGCUCGGAGAACAGCUCUCUGCUGGCAGAGAACCUGCUUUUGGGGGCCACCAGAAGCACAAGCACCCUCUGUGGAACUGAAAUGGGCCUUGACUGGAGUCCUGCUCCUAGUCCACCUGGAUCCCAGCUGGCCUUUCAUUGGAGAAGCAGCUGCCUCAGACCGAGCCCUAGGGGCCACCAUCUCGCAGAGGUGGAGAAACAGUAGGUCAGGACUGUGGGGAACCUCCUUCACGCAUUCAUGCGCAUCACUACUUAGAUGAUGAGGCAUUUGGCUAUUAAUGAACCACAGAGAAUUUCUCUGGCACCUUUUCUGGAUUGGGCUUGGCAGGCAGCCUGUCCGCCCACGUCAAAUUCAGUGGUGCUCAUGUGGGGACCAGAUCCCAUGUCCCAUACCUACUAGGCUCGACCACAAAGGAGCCAGGCCAUAGCAAGAUUCCAUGGUACAGAAGACUGAGCAAGCAUACGUUGUCAUCUGGGUGGUGGAGAAUUUUGCUCUUGCCUUCGAAGAAGGACUUUUUUAAACCAAAGUCACACAAAUAUUAAUACCAGUUAAAGGAGUAAACAUUCUUACCUUUGCUGGUAAAGAUCUCCACAGAGGAAAGGAGAGCCCUGUGUGAGAAGAGCUUCGUCAUCCUCUUCAGAUGGCCACCAGAGAGUCCAAGAUCCACAAGGAAUCUGUUGUUGCCUUUCUACCACUUCCUGCGAGUGCUGAUUGGCAAGCCUGGGGACUCAGCCUCUUCUGUUCUUGUCCCCUCCUUCCCCUCUUCCUCUAGAUGCUGGUACUCCUGGACUUCUUCUGCUACAGCGUCACCUGAAGAUGAUGACCUGCUUUGAUAAGGAACAGCAACAUCCACUGCUUUUGCCUGAGACCCCUUAACCACAGCCCAAUGUGGCCUGAAGAGCUUGUUGUUCUCCAUAAGGUUGCCUUCUGAGAACACCCCCCACACCAGUCUUUUUGCCUCUUCUGCCAGCAUACCACACAAGACGCUAUGCCUCUGGAUCCCAGCAUUCUGGACUGCAGGGCAGUACCCAGUAAUAAUAGUGGCAUUUUACUGGCAGACAGACCAUGGCAUGGGCUGCAUGUGCAUGGGGCCUCCCACUUAUUCUGCACUUCUCAUGUCUCUUCAUAGCGCUGGACUAGAGUCAACCUCAACAGGGUCUUCUUUCUCUGCUGAUUCCGCCAAGCCCGUUCCUUUGGCUGUGGUUUCACUGGAUAGUAGGUAGGGACAGUGGGAAUCUCGUUCAUCCAUUCAUGCGCGUCACUAAUUAGAUGCCGAGGCAUGUGGCUCUUUAAUGAACCCUAGAAUUUCUAUGGCACCUUUUCCGGGUUGGGAUUGAAAGGCGGCCCGUCCACCCAAGUCGAAUUUAGUGGGUCAUUUGGAGAUGAGAUGUUCCGUCCCAACCUACACAGCUCAACCACAAGGGAGCCAGGUAAGAGCAGAAUUCAGCAGUACAGAAGACUAAGCAAGCCCAUGUUGUCUGUGUGAAGAAUUUUACUGUUGCCUUCCAAGGAAGGACUUUGAAUUAACAAAGCCAUACAUUAAUUUAUAGAAUAAAUUAAACAUCCUUACCUUUGCUGGCAAAGAUGUGAAGAAUGUCUACAGAAAAUAGGAGAGCUCUCUGGGAGAAUAGCCUCGUUAGCCUCGUCUGGCGGCUACUGGAGAGUCCAAGGUUGGCAAGGAAGCUGUCAUUUGCCUUAUGCCACUUCCCGCGAGCACCAAUCGGGAAACCCAGGAACUCCACCUCUCCAGCUUUUGUCAGUUCUUUCACUUGCUCUGCAAGAUGUUGAUACUUCUGAACUUUCUCUGCUGCUGUGUCCCCUAAAGAUGACAACCCACUCUCGUAGCAGAACGUAACGUCCACUACUUUCGCCCGGCCUUCUUUAGCCACAACCAAAUCUGGCUUGAAGAGUCCAUUGUUGUUAUCUCUGAGGUUGGGCUCUAGAUAAAUCUCCCAACCCAGUUUCUUAGCCUCUCCAGCCAGCAGUCCACACAAGAUGUUAUGCCUCUUGAUCCGGGCAUCUUGGACUACAGGGCAGUAUCCAAUGAUAUGCGAGCAAGUUUCCCAUUCUGCAGGACAAUGCCUGCAUGCCUUUGGUGCCCCUUCUGCCAGCCCGCGUGCCAAAUACUCCCUAGUGGGAUAGACAUUGGCACGCAGCUGUAUCGCUGUUAAUAGCUUCCUGUGGGGAAUGCCCCAGUAAUGUGUGAGCCAAUCGUUGCUGAUGUUAUCAUCUUCAAAGUUCUUAAUACCGUGGCCUUGUGCUUUUAGAUUGGCCCAGUUCUCUAGCUCUCUUUUCUUUCACUUGGUAGGAAUAGGAUAGAUGACCCGGGGAGCUGGUACUUCCCAUUCGGACGUCGUCUCGCCCUCUUCCAGUACCGUGGGAAUUCUCAUCGAGAGUUCCUCCCCAAUUGAUGGUAUUCUAUCAGCCUUUCCUCCGGUGGCGAUCCACACCUUCUUGAACUCCCUCUGGAUCCUCUCUUCCAGAACAAUUGUUCUUGUGAUGGUGUCGGAGGAUUGGGCGAUACGAUGCAGCCGACGAGCCUGAAUGUUUGAAAUUUGGCUCACCAGCCGUGCAAUUCCGAGACCACCAUCCUUUGUGCUGGAGUACAGGAAGGCGUCACACGUACUGGGAGGUAAGUGAAGCCAGCCCUUCACUGCUGAUCUUAUUGCAAGGUCCAAAGAAUGGAGGUAUGAGGCGUUCACUCCGGCAUGAUCUGCCGCAUACAGCAACCGUGGGACUGCAUACACCUUCAAGAUCUCAACCUUCUGAAGUGGCUUUAAUGGGGCUUCUCCAACGUUGUUCACCCAUGUGCCCAGCUUUUCCUGCAGGUCUGGUCGGGAGACACCAAUCCAAGGGUCAACUCCCAGGCCCAAAUAUUUCUCAGAGCUGCCAGGCUCAAUUAGAUGUAAUUGAGCUCCAUCAAUCGUCCAUGGGUCGCAGUUGUUAAUUGUAUAGGAGUCUUUCGUGGGCCUUAUGAAAAACCCAUGGCAUUUCGCUGCAUGCACCUUCAGCCCGGUUUGAUCACAAAAUUCUUCCACCACUUGAAUGUUCUUUUGCAUACCGUCCCACGAGUCGCUCAGCAGCACAAGAUCACCCGCGAAUGCCAGUGUUGACAGAGAGCUGUUCUUGUACCUAAACCCUUCUUUACCAUCUUCUAAUCGACACAAGAACGGGUCCAUUGAUAGGUUGAAGAGAAGCGGGGACAUCAGGUCGCCUUGCUUCACACUGGUGAGAUUCUUAACCUUCUGUCGCGGCCCGAAAGGAGUCGUUCAGGACGACCUCCCUCCCCUUGGGACCAACGACCAAGUUUGUGAUGCCCUUGGACUGAAUUAAGGUGAAACGACACCAGCCAACCAGUUUUAAGAUUUAUUAACACAAAGAUAAGGCAUGUGGUCAAAUAGGAUAAUUCAAUGGCGAAUACUGCAACUAGCUAGACAAGUCCCGUGCCACACGUUUCAAACAGAUCUUACCAACAUUCAACAAAAGAGAGAAAAAGGGAGAAAGAGAGAAAAAGAUAUCACCACCCGUGGAUCCAGUGGUGUCCCGUUGGUCCUCUUCCUUUGGGAGUCUCGGCGGUGGGGGGGCUCCCUUCUGGUGGUAGGUGGGUCCUCUUCACCCUGGGUGUAAGUUUUGGUGAUGCGCGUGCAGUAAUUACAACUCGAGCAGGGUCUGACGCUAGGUUCCCGCUGAAAAGCUCAGAAUGACACGCAUGCAGUGGUUACAGCUCGAGUUGGGUACCUCCAAAGAGGGACCCUGAACAAAGAGGUCCCCGGGCAAUUACAGCUUUUUUCAAAUUAAGUUUCCCACCCCCACAUGGUAGUUCAGACCAAUAGUAAUUUGGGGGUCUGGGGUCUCCUGCUCCUUAUUGGGUGUCAUCGUUGUUCCUAGGCAGGCUGUUUCUUUUCUCCCUUAUCUUUUCUGUUGCAGUUUCUGCCGACAGGUGUGUCUUCAUUCCUCGGGUCCCACCAUCAUCUCUCAAGGUCCUGACAAAGAGGUGGUAACUCCAGCAAUUAGCACUGUUUCAGCAGUGCACAGGAAUGCAAAUUGCUGGUAACUCCCUUAUGGUUCCCACCUGCACCAGCUCUGGGGCCCUUUCUCACUGAACUAGGGAGUGCGGCCUAAGGCUUCAGCAAAUUUAGCUACUCAUGCUAAGCAAGUUUUAUCGAAGUUGUGCUAAAAACGGCAAUAAUUUACAGUCCAGGUCCCAAAGUCUCUGCCCGAUCAUGGUCUGGUUCAGCGCAGGCUCUGUGUGUCCCAGGUAGUCGCAGGGAGACCAUUUCGGGGGUCGCAGCAGCUUAGUCCUGUUUCCGCCAGGGACAGAUGGCUUGUUUGGGGUUAUGGUUUGCUUGCACCUUAUGUACCAAGAAAUGUUUAAGGCAAAAGUUCAUUCAUCUGUCCGCCACACCUUCUCCAAGUGGGUUCCUCCAACCUCCAGCCGCGUCGCACUGUUACACAUUUCGGCAAUGAUCUCGAUGAUACGUCCAUCGACAUCUUUUUGCCUGAGGACCUGGAAGAUGUGUUGAUGAUGGACUGAAUCAAAGGCCUUCGCCAAGUCCACAAAGACAACCCCAAGCAAUUUAUGUUCUUUUUUCGCCUAUUUGAUCAAUAUCUGGAGGAGCUUGAGAUUUUCCGCACAGCCCGGGGCUACAAUAAACCCUCUUUGGCGGCUGUUAAUUGGACAUGCUUUUCGUAGCUGUGCUGUUAAGAUCCAGGAAAACAGUCGCAAGAUAAUCGACCUGAUGGUAAUGGGUCGCCAUUUGUUGAUAUCUCCUGUCUUCCCAGGAUCUGCGGAUUUGGGUAGCAAGAUCAUUCUGUACUCCUUGAUGUCAUCAGGGAUCUUCCUGGCCAAAAGCCACAAGUUGAACAAAUCAGCUAGUUGACUGCCCUGAGGGUCCUUUUUUAAGAUGUCCCUCAGGCUUAAGCCAUCAGGCCCGGGGGCUGAGUUCUUAGUCAUCUUGGCCAUAUUCUUCCGGACUUCCGCUGGGGAAAUCAUCUUCUUAAAAGCAGAGUUGUCCACCACCCCCGUGCUUUGGAAAGCACCCAGACUGAGAAAGGGGCCACCUUCUUCCCACAUCUUUCUGAAUGAGUUAUAAAGUUCAUCCAUCGGAAGGGGGCACUUUAGUGCUUCGAUGUUAUCCAAAAUGAUACCAGCCAGCUUCUUACGAUCCAUCUCGAAGAGCCGCUGGUAUCUCAGGUACUGGCCCCGCUUCACUGCCCUGGUCUUCAUCCACUUCCUCUCCACCUUCUUGGGCGUGGGUCCAGCCUGAUGCUUUCUCAGUUGUUUCAACUUAGCUACUCUGGCAUGUCCCACCAGCUGUGCCAACCACUCUUCCGUUGAUCCCUUGAUGACAUUUCAGGCAUCUUUAACACCCUCCAGGACCUCCUCAAAGGCAACCUUCAGACUGGGGGAAAGGGAUCCCACUCGUAUUCUCUCUGCAAUAAUCCUUCUAUAUUCCGUCUUUAUCAACUCAGUCCUUUCCUUCUCAACUGGUUCGUCCCCUUCACGCUGAUGUUCUGCUUUCCUUGGCGAUGCCGAUGUCUUGGCACCUGCCGCAAGCUGGUAUCUCUUAUCACUGAUCUGCUUCGCCGUUUUUGUGGGUAAAUGCUCCCUGAUCAGCUUGUUCACAAAGCGCUUGUUCUUAUAUUUCUUCAAACUCUAUCAAUAGCACCGUCUCCUCUUUGGUCCAGCAGCUCUUAUGCAUGCCUCGGAUUCCUUUUCCCUUCGGACGAGAUGACUCAAUCCUCUCCUUGUUCCUAAGCAGUGGAUGCACAAGCCUUUUGUGCUGAGAGAGGCUGCUUUUGGUCUUGAAUUCUUGGUUAUAUUCUUCACGCAGGAAGCCGCUGGGGCCCUCCGGGACCUCCUCUUUGUCUUCAACUGGAGCCCCCUGGCAUCCUGGGAAGUGGCAGGCUAUACUGUGAUGUUUCUCAUUUGUUCUCCCACAUCGUGAGAUGAAAACAGAAUUCGUUGCUGACUGUGGGCUCUCUGAAGGUGGUCAGUUAGCACUGCCAUUUUUGCCAUCUUGACACCACAGCAUGGACAUGCCGGAUGUUCAUCAGGGACCUUCACGAUUGGUGUACUCACACCAGUCGCUUCCCCCCCCAGUAUCAAGAAUGGGACUUGCCACAGUCAGAGCAGGGAUUGCGGGCCCAGAGGGAGAUGUCGGCACACUGUCUACCACGUCCUCCUCUGGCACCUCUUCAGUACCGGUCACGGGAGGUGAUCUGAUAGGUGCCAGUACCUCAUAAACCUCCAGCAGGUCUUCUACGCAAUCACAGGGUGGUUCGGGAUAGAUCCCUCCCCAACAGACAUAAUCCGAGUUAUAAAAUGUCAAAUUUGGUAGGUGGUAGGCCAACUCAUUAGUUGUUAUUACUGCUGGAAUAACACUCGCGGCGUCACGGGGAGUGGCCGGUCUGAGUGGCCACCGAGACAAAAUUAACAGCCCAUGAUUUUAUUGGGCUGUACAUGGUGUCUAUGGGGGUUCGGGAUACAACCAGAAGAACCAGCCCCCAAGUUCAACUGGUGUGCCUUUAGAUCGCCCUUAGGCCAGGGGCUUUGGACACACGAAUGUAUAAAUCGCGGUCAGAUCAAUUUAGUUUCACCUCGAAUACUACCAAGUGGUCGGUGAAGCCGGUCGGUAGGGUAGGAAGUAACUAUAAUUCCGCACUCACGCUAGGGCAGAGGCUGACUUGGUCACCCAGAGAUGGGCAUCCAGCAGGACCACGAGGAGGUGUAGCCUCUGCAGCUAAGCCCAGUUAGUAACUAUGGUCCCGUCUUAAGAGAGUUAUACUUAAUCCUGCUGUUUACCCGCGCUUCAUUGAUUUUCUUCACUUUGACAUUCAGAGCACUGGGCAGAAAUCACAUUGCAUCAACACCCGCUGCAAGCCUUUGCGAUGCUUUGUUUUAAUUAAACAAUCGGAUUCCCCUGGUCCGCACCAGUUCUAAGUCAGCUGCUAGGCGCUGGCUGAGGCGGGGUGCUGGCCUGGGGACCCUGGCUCCCCCUGCCCCAUCACUGGCAGCUGUGUGUGCAUCGGGACACCCCCAG